CCUAAUUCCAUUGCUUCCCCUCUUUUUAAGAACCGCCCUUUCUCCCUUCAUUCUCCAUCGCAGCUCUCUCCUCUUUCUCUCUAUCCUCUCCCCUAAACCCUCUCUCUCAAUAGUUUUCCAAUUCGAGCUUAAUUAUUAUGUCCAUUUGUUGGCAAGCAUAUAUCUGGAUCCAGAUCGCCUAGCUCAAUUCGCAUCUGGUUUGAUCAGUCAGCUCAAUUCGCAUCUGGUUUGAUUCGUUUUUUUUUCGUGUUUCAUAUUUUUGAAAAUCUAUCUUUGUUUUUGAAAAGUGAAGCUUGCGGUCUAUGAUGAUUUUAGUGGAAUUCAUUAAUGAUUAUUCAUUGAUUACGAACACACUACUGCCUUCCUUCUGAGGCUUGCUUCUUCCGAUUUGAAUUCAACUUUGUUGGCACUUGGCUCCGUUUUUGAAAAAUUUAUUUUGUUUUAUUGGUCAAGUGAUGAUUAGAUGCAUAGUUCAAAUGACUAAUCCCUGAUUAUAAUACUCUUUUAUCUUUCGCUCCUAUCUGAUGGCCUUUGAUCAAUGUUUUCUUAAACUAUUUUAUUGUUGUAAAUUUCUUCGUGGCCUGUGAUUAAAAUUCUUUUAUUGACAAGCAUAUGUCUGAAUACCAUGUGUAGACAUUCUAAUCUUCUCAAUGAGGCCACAUUUUUAUUUUUUUCAAUUCUUGAUUUUGCAAUAGAAAGAUAUGUUUUUUUAUUACCACUUUAUUAAAACGUUAUUCCAAACAAUUUUUGAGUGGAAAUUCAGGCAACCUCCUUCUGUCUUGAGAAAAGAAUGGGAAGGAAGGUGUUUAUCUGCUCAUAAAAAGAACUUUUGCUCUUCAGACUUGCUGAGUUUUUCCUUGAAGCUGGUCUAGUAAGCUCAAGAACAUUUCUUGUUUCUUAUCGAAUUCCUUGCUUUUUCUAAUUUUUGCUAAUAUAUUAGUUGUGGAUUGAAUCUUGUAGAAUAUGAUGACUGUUGCUUUAGUAUUUCUGACACCUCUUGUAUGAGAAGUGCCAUUAGUGGCCCUUCUGUGAGCACAAAAAACACCUAUCUGAACCUUGAUUAUCUUGUUAAAUAAUGUUAAUGAAAACCCAAUCUUGUUUUAAACAAAUCCCUAGUUUUGGACGUUAAUGGUAUCUUAUUUCUUGACUCCUUUUGGCUUCACUAUCUGGUUGUGGGAUUUAAUCUCAGUAUCCUACCAACUCGUUCCCUAGAAGCAAUAGUAGUUGUGUUGCUCUGUUUCAUCAAUCCAUCUUCUUGUUUUGGUUGUCGUUGGAGAUCAAUGGGGCAGCUACAUUUUCCAUUCACUUUUAAUUAAUAGUGUUAGUAAUGUAAUGGCGAUGAUGAACACUUUUUACAGUUUCACAGACCUGUAAUGAUUGCGGAUAUGAUCGCUUUUAUUGAACAUCUAAGGGACUGAGCCAUUUCUAACACUUUUCACAUUCUGAAAAUUUUUGUGCUUUACUUGGACGUUUUAUGUUGUCACACAUGAAACUAUAUAAUGUGGCAUUUGUUAUAAGUGAAGCUAUAUAAAUGUGUUCUCCUCGCUAUCCGGUUGGUGCUUCUGAUAGCUCAUUUGGACGUUGGUGAACUACCAUUUUUUUUAUCUUUUUCAUUUUAUCCCUUUUUAUUGAAAAAAAUUUGGGCAAUGAAGAAUUGCGAUUGGUCUCGUUCGUUGUAAUGGCAUGUUUCCAUGCCUUGCCGACCAUACUGAUAUAUCACCACCCAUAAACUGAGUCCUUUCAUUUCAAUAUUUCAAUUCUUUGUUUUUUGGAUCUUUUUUUCUGGUAAAUUUUCAAUGGUCAAGUGAUGAUUUGAUGCAUAGUUCAAAUGACUAAUCUAUGAUUAUAUAACUCUUUUAGUCUUUCGCUCCUAUCUGAUGACCUUUGAUCCAUAAUUUUGUUAAACUCAGUAUCCUAACAACUACAUUUUUUUCAUGUUAAUUCAUAUUCGGAUUAAAAUGGCGAUGAUGAACACUUCUUCAAAGUUUCACAGACCUGUAAUGAUUGCGCAUGUGAUGGCUUCUAUUGGACAUCCAUCUAAGGCAAGCGUCGGGAAGACAAAGUCAGAGGACUUCACAAUGUCGCGUCAUGACUUGCAAACACACUUGAUUUCAAUAUGGUUCGAACGGGGAGCCUUGAGAGGAUUUCGAUGGUGAGUUGAAUCGAUCUCGAUUCUUGAUUAUCAUGUUUUGGAGUAUGUAAUUGAAGAAUGCAUUCGGGCUAUAUGAGUUGAAUUUACCUAAUGCGUUAUUAAUUUGGUUAAGUAAA